CUUCACAUUAUCUCUCUCCCUCACGUUUGCUCUUAACCACAUCCACACUCUACCUCACCUUUCCACGUUACCCCUCUCUCUCUGUACAUUAAAAAGAAAAACAAAAAGAACAAGGCACACACAGAUUCACACGUCCUCUCUUCUUUCCCACCCAAUCUCUCCUCCUUAACCAAAAGCUACCUAUUCUUUGAAAAUCUCACAAACAAAAAUACAAAGAAAACAGACCUUAAAAACCAAACACCAUCCUCUCUCCAUCCGCCACCAAUUCCGGCGAAAAGCUUGCUCAAACCCUCUCCGUGUUCCGGCGACCACCGACCAAACUCCAUCCAUUGCCGGUGAAAUCGUCCGCCGCCGCGACACACAUACCUCCGUCGCCGCCGACUCGUCGAUUGCGCCGGUAUCACUCAUCCCCACCACCACGAACCUCUUCAUCUUCCGCCACCGUCAAAUCCACUGCGGAUUCCAUAAAGCUCCCUUUGCCGUUGCGUUUCGCCGAUAACUCAAAACCGCCUCCGAUUUCAACUCGCCGUGGAACAACAUCCUCAAACUUGUAAAACUCAAAAUCUACUCCUAACUGUAGCCGGCGAAAAUACCAUCACCGUAAACACCUUAAAUCUCUCCUUUGCCCCCGUUUCAUCGUCGGACCGCCAUAUACCCUCCGAUCUGCAAUUUCUUCGACCUCCCUUUACAAAGAUUCAUUCACAGAUACACACGACAACCUCCGCGUUACGUUGACUUUUGUUCGUGCAUUAGUCGGUCUGAGGUCAACAAGUUCAAAUCUGGAGUCGUUUAAUAAGGACUCCAUCCGGCUUUUAGUUGGCUUCAGAGUCUCUCCGCAUUUAGUAAAUAAUUUUAUACUGUUGUAAAUAAUGCAGAGUUGCUUUUCUGCAAUAAAAUCAAAGUUUUAUUCUCGGAUUCGACAAUUUCAUGUCGUUAUGCCACCAAAGUCUCAAUAAAUUAAUAGAAUAUUUCACCGUGUUAUGAUAUUACGAAUGACAUUAAUCGUGUUGUCAUUUCGUACAAACCGGUUUUGAGCAUAUAUUCCAUUAAAAAAUCGACAAUGGUCACUUAUAUUCUUUAAUUAUAAUUGAAAUUAAUUAUUAAACUUUGACUAGUUAAGUUGUUUUGGAUUUAUUAAUUUUAAUUAACUUAGUUAUUUGAUUUAAUUCAAUAAUUUUGAUAAUUAAUUUUAAUUAGUUUAAUUAAUCAAUUUAACCAAAUUUUAAUCGAUUAAUUUUGUCAAUUAUGCAUUGAUCGGUUUCUUCCACUAGUACUUCACAUCAUUUCAAAACCAUUUCAUCAUUGAGUCAAAACUAUUUUAAAACCACCAAAA